ensembl:antisense Gm16070 predicted gene 16070
GUGAGUGGAGGCCGGCAAGGUCUGGACCCUGGGGGAAGAGAGCCUCUAGCUUCUCCCACCUCUCUCAGAUCAGACACCCUUCCCCUAAGAUUCUCUCUGAUGGGAUGCUGAAAUUACUUACAGUCUGUUUGCAAAGGAGAUAGCCCCAGAACUUGAGUUUCUAGAAGGAAGAAGUCUUUCUUUGGCUACUAAAGCUUAAUGAGGACCAGAUGGAGAAAGACUUUCAGAAGACUAUUGAAGUGGAUAUUGCCUGACAGUUGAGACAUGUCAGGAAACAUGUGGUGUUGGCUUCUGAAAAAGGAUCACCAGCAUUUGGCAUUUGUGAAAAUAAGAAGAGUCCUUUAAACAAUAUAUCAUUGAUAGACUGUCAGAAUCUCAAAAUUCAGUCCCAGGACAGAUACCUGUUUUGCAUCCUAGAGUAGGAAUUUACUAAUUGUAAACUCAAAAAGUAUUGCCCUACUGAGUGUGGUGCAGUUUGUACAAGCACACUUUGUUUUGAAGUGGAUUAUCUAAUUCCCCUGUCUUUGCAUCGGCUCCUUUGAGAGUCCUCACCUCAAAUUUCUGUCUCUAUAUCUGGAAUGUCUCAAAGACCAAAUCAGAUUGUUCCAACCAUUACCUGUCUCUUUCCAUUAUCCAGCUGCUCUUCUGUAGUCAGGCCCCAAAGUCCCUGGUGACAUGAAUCUUUGUUUCCUAGAAUAGCAAAGAAUGGGAAGCAGACAUAUCAGAAAGAGAGCCACACUGAACCUUCUCAGGUAUAGAGUCACAAGGUUUUUCUUUAGCGUUGUACACACAGAAUGGAUGCAAAUUUGUAGUUUGGGAAUAUUAAUUCAUAAUUAGUGUUCCUAGCAUUCAGGAAAUAGGGCUUUUACAUCUAAAACAGUCCAGUUUCUGAUAAAGGACAGGUGAUAUAGUAAUAGUAUAGUAUAGUAAAGAUGGAGAUCAUGUCUACAUGGAACACUUUAUGUGUCAUUGAAAAAUCAUAGAGAGAAUUGAGUUAAAUCUGUUAAAAGUGAUUGCAUAUUUUUGAAAUAUUUGAAGAGGAACUUAAAUAAAGAUGAUAAGAAAUUUGGUAAGGCAAUUAUCAUAUUUAAUAUAAGAAUGGCCUAAAUAUUCAUCAUAUUAAGCAUAAGCCUUCAAUAAUCUUGCAUUUCCAAUUUACUAUAUAAGCUUUUCUUUGAUACAGUUCAUGUUUUUAUUUAUUAUUGCAACGUCUAUUUGUCAACAGAAAGGCACAUCUUAUCCACAUCAAAUGAAUGUCAAAAUGGCACUUUGGUUUAUGACUGAAACAGUCCCUUGUAAAGCCAUGGCAGGUUGUGGCAUUUCUACUCUAUUGUGGCAGAUACUGCUGUGUACUUGGCCAACACAGAAUCUCCCACAUCUUUGUUCCAUCUGAAACUGUAGCGUCUGGUUUUACAUGGGGUCCCCACCUUCUCAUCAGCAGCAACCUUAGGAAGUGACUGGUGCUUAUUCUAAGCAACGUUGAAAAUAGAUCCCUGUAGCAGUGACUGGUGUAGUAAGAGACAGUUCAAGCAAUGCUUGCUCAUCAUUCAAGGAAGGCAGGGCUGAAUUUAGAGCUGAGGACAGGGGUUGCAGUGGUUUUCUUUUGUGAUCAAAAGAAAAAUUAUCUUUAGGUGCUAAUUUGUGAGAUUUGAAAAGUACAGUUGUUAUUGAGCAAAGAGAAGGGACAGACUAAAGAAUGACCUCUUUACCUGUUGAACAAAAGAAUAAAUAGUGUCUGUUCCUCCCUGUUCCUGACCAAUCACUUCAUUUUCUUGUUAUGGGAGAUAACAAAUGGAUGUUUAAGCCACACUGGCUUGGCUUGAGUAUUAGCUACUUGUAGCCUAAAGCACUGGAAUUGACAUGUUUCUGCAAAGAUGAUUUUCUUUUGCUAGUAUUCUAUUCCUCAUGCUGUAAUUAUCCAUGUAUGUGGAAAGUAAGGAACUACCUUAAAAUGUAUGCUAACCUACCUCUGAAUUUCCAAGUGAGUACAUGUUGUAGAGGUGACAGUUACUCCAUACUGCCAUAACCUCACAUCUUCUCUCUAUAACCUCUAUCAAGACAUCUUUACAUCUCUUCUCCUGGAGAUGUGUAAUGCUACAUUUCCUGUGUUUAGUACUUUAAUAAAUAGAACUUGUGUCAAUGUAUU